rnacentral:rRNA from 1 species
AGUGAACGCUGGCGGCGUGCCUAAUACAUGCAAGUCGAACGGAGAUUAAGUAGCUUGCUAUUUAAUCUUAGUGGCGCACGGGUGAGUAAUAUAUAGCUAACUUGCCCAUUACUAAGGGACAACAGUUGGAAACGACUGCUAAUACCUUAUACUCCGUAUCUAUAUAAGUAGAUACGGGAAAGUUUUUCGGUAAUGGAUAGGGCUAUAUCGUAUCAGCUAGUUGGUAAGGUAACGGCUUACCAAGGCUAUGACGCGUAACUGGUCUGAGAGGAUGAUCAGUCACACUGGAACUGAGACACGGUCCAGACUCCUACGGGAGGCAGCAGUAGGGAAUAUUGCUCAAUGGGGGAAACCCUGAAGCAGCAACGCCGCGUGGAGGAUGACACUUUUCGGAGCGUAAACUCCUUUUCUUGGGAAAGAAUU